rnacentral:rRNA from 1 species
UACGUAGGGUGCGAGCGUUGUCCGGAAUUACUGGGCGUAAAGAGCUCGUAGGUGGUUUGUCGCGUUGUUCGUGAAAACUCACAGCUCAACUGUGGGCGUGCGGGCGAUACGGGCAGACUGGAGUACUGCAGGGGAGACUGGAAUUCCUGGUGUAGCGGUGGAAUGCGCAGAUAUCAGGAGGAACACCGGUGGCGAAGGCGGGUCUCUGGGCAGUAACUGACGCUGAGGAGCGAAAGCCGUGGGGGAGCGAACAGG